CUUGCCCGGUCCCGCACGACGCCGCUGUCGCCGCUGUCGCGAUGUGGCGCAGCGCCGGCCCCGCUGGCGACGCGCAGAAGGCUGAGACCAAAGAGGAAUUCGUAAAAGUUAGAAGGAGGGAUUUGGAAAGGCUGACAACUGAAGUUAUGCAACUGCGGGAUUUCUUACCCAAAAUAGUAAAUGGAGAUAUCCUGGGGACAUUCCAGAAGCUGGAUGCUAUUGAAUCAAACCUGGAGAAAAAGGAGGAGGAAAUAGAGCAGCUGAGAAUGGAUUGUGAACACUUCAGAGCGCGUCUGGAAACGGCCCAGGCAGAUUGCAUGAGAGAGAAGAAGGAGAAACUGGACCUGCGGCAGCAGCUGAACGAGGCCAAGCAGCAGCUCCUGCAGCAGGCAGAGUAUUGCACAGAGAUGGGAGCAGCAGUGUGCACCUUGCUCUGGGGGGUGUCCAGCAAUGAGGAGGCUGUGAAAUCCAUCCUGGGAGGAAGUAAAGCAGUAAAGUUUUUCACAAUCACUGCCCAGACCAUGGAGAGCUUUGUGAAGUCAUUAAGUGAAGACAUGAAACAGCAGGAUUUGGAUUCUGAGGAAAAUCAGUUUGUAUUGGCUUUGGCAGGGAUUGUAACAAAUGUGGCUGCGCUGGCGUGUGGCCGUGAGUUCCUGGUCAGUUCCAGUCGGGAAUUACUGGACACGAUGAUGCAUCUCCUGGGAGACAUGAAGCCAGGACUCUGUAACAAAUUUAAAGUGCUAAUGCUAAUGUCACUUUACAAUGUGAGCAUCAACUUGAAAGGCUUGAAGUACAUCAGUGAAAGUCCAGGUUUUGUUCCCCUGCUCUGGUGGCUGUUGAAUGGGAAGGGAGACAAAGCAAAUCCUUUUCCUGCUGAGGACCAAGGACAACUUUCAGCCCAAAAGCACAAACAACGGUGGACUUCAGAGAGAAAACAAGAAGGAUGGGACCUCACAAUCUGAAGCUAUAACUGGACAAUUAAACCUCAAUAUGCAAAUGGACCAAAUCUUAUAAAAAUGAGAUGACAUAAUAUUUAUGAAAGCCCUGGCACAUGUUAUCCAGAUGUUGUGGAUGCCCCAUCCCUGGAAGUGUUCAAGGCAAGUUUGGACGGGGCUCUGAGCAUCCUGGUCGAGUGGAAAAUGCCCCUGCCCAUGGCAGGGGGCCUGGAACUGGAUGUUCUUUAAGGUUCUUUCCAUCCCAAACCAUUCUAUGAUUCUUUAAUUCUACAGUCGAUGCUGUCAGUCCCUGAAUGCUGACAAAGACCACAACUCUGUGGGCACAGGUCAAGCUCCCAGUCUUUGUACCUCACUUUUCCCACCUUUAUAAUGGGAAUCAUAAUAGUUGUUAACCUCACAGUAGUGUGGUGUUGGCUGUGUUUAAACAGAAAGUCUGUGCACACUUGGUGGAACUCUACUUAAUUGCUCCUGGAUUUAAAUUUGGGUUUUCCAGUGUUCCCAUUCUAUCCUUUAGCCUGACAUGCAAUGGCAGUAGGGAACUGACCUGUGACUUCCAGGUAGCAAGGGACAGGGUGAAAGGGAAUGGCCUCAAGUUGCACCAGAGGAAGUUUAGAUUGGAUAUGGGGAAAAAUUCCUUUACUGUGGAAGGGUGACCAGACAUUGGAACAGACUGUCCAGGGAAGUGGUGGAAUCACUAUCCCUGGAAGUGUUAAAACAUGUGGUGCUCAGGGAUUUCGUAGUGGACUUGGCAGCACUGGGUUGAUGGUUGGACUUGAUGA